AUUGAACGCUGGCGGCAUGCCUUACACAUGCAAGUCGAACGGCAGCGGGGACUUCGGUCCGCCGGCGAGUGGCGAACGGGUGAGUAAUGUAUCGGAACGUACCUUUCAGUGGGGGAUAACGUAGCGAAAGUUACGCUAAUACCGCAUAUUCUCUGAGGAGGAAAGCAGGGGACCUUCGGGCCUUGUGCUGAUGGAGCGGCCGCUAUCAGAUUAGCUAGUUGGUGAGGUAAAGGCUCACCAAGGCGACGAUCUGUAGCGGGUCUGAGAGGAUGGGCCGCCACACUGGGACUGAGACACGGCCCAGUAGCCUACGGGAGGCGGCAGUGGGGAAUUUUGGAGAAUGGGCGGAAGCCUGAUCCAGCCAUGCCGCGUGUGUGAAGAAGGCCUUAUGGUUGUAAAGCACUUUAAGCGGGGAGGAGGCUACUUUAGUUAAUACCUAGGGAUAGUGGACGUUACUCGCAGAAUAAGCACCGGCUAACUCUGUGCCAGCCGCCGCCGUAAAAC
rnacentral:rRNA from 1 species